rnacentral:tRNA from 1 species
CGGGGUGUAGCGCAGCCUGGUAGCGCACCUGGUUUGGGACCAGGUGGUCGGAGGUUCGAAUCCUCUCACCCCGACCC